rnacentral:rRNA from 1 species
UACGGAGGGUGCAAGCGUUGUCCGGAAUCACUGGGCGUAAAGGGCGCGUAGGCGGCCUGGUAAGUAGGGGGUGAAAUCCUGCGGCUUAACCGCAGGGCUGCCUUCUAAACUGUCAGGCUUGAGCACGGUAGAGGCAGGUGGAAUUCCCGGUGUAGCGGUGGAAUGCGUAGAGAUCGGGAAGAACAUCAGUGGCGAAGGCGGUCUGCUGGGCCGUUGCUGACGCUGAGGCGCGACAGCGUGGGGAGCAAACAGG